UUUUUUUUUUUUUUUUUUAAGCAUGCUUCAGGGACUGGCUAGCAUAUGUCAGAACCUCAUUUGUUUUUAUAGCUAGAGAAUAUACAUCUUUUUAUAUGUUCUACAUUUUUCUCCAUCUACUAAUGGAACAUUGUGAGUUUUCCAACUAACUCAUUCAGUAUUCUGAGCAAUGCUUCCAUGAACAAUUUUACUUACAAGCAUCAGUUUGAGUCUCUUCAAGUUUUCAUGUACAUACCUGAAUAUGGAAUGACAGGAUUUUAUAGUCACUCACUGUUUAGAUUUCUGAAUAACUGCCAGACAAUUUCCACAGUGGCUUCACAAUUUUGCAUUCCCAUUAAGAGUGCACAAAGUUUUUCUACCCUGCUGGUACUUGUCUUCAAAAAGUUAUGGUAGUUGUAGUGGGCAGUGGCGUGACAGGGUCACUGUGGUUUGACUUGUAUUUCACGGGUGAAUCUUCUCAUCUCCUCACUGGCUGUUGGUAUACCUUCUUUAAAGGUUUGUUCAGACCCUUUGCCCACACUUUAAUUUCCUUUCUUUAUUUUCUCAGGGGAGGACAUUGAUGCAUGCAGGCCAGAGUCAGCUUUGAGGAGUUAGUUCUUUUUCCAUGAGUUCUGGGAAUCAAACUCUAGUUGCCAGGUUUGACCACGUGCUCCUUAACUUGCUAAGCUAUCUCCUCAGCCAUAAAUAACAUGUCCUUUUGAUGACUUGUAAUUCUUUAUAUAGUCUGGAUAUUAAACUCUCAUCAAAGAUGAUUUAAAAAUAUUUUCUUAUAUUCUUAGGUUGUCUUUUCAUAAUGUCCCUUGAUAUAAAAUCUGCUUUCAAUUUUAAGAAGAGUACUAUCUGCAUAUUUUAUUCAUGUUCAUCCAUGUCAUUGCAAAGAUGAUUUGUCAGGAGAGGCCAGAAGAGGGCAUCGGAUCUUCCCAGAACUGAAGUUACUGAACUUGUGAGCUGUCAUGUUGGUGUUAGAAACCAAGUCUGGCUCUCUGAAAGAGUAGCCAGUGCUCUUAACCACUGAACCGUUAUUCCAGCUCCUCUGACAUUUCGUUGAAUCUCUUAUUUUGUAAUCUGUGAGGGAAAGGAGUAAGCAAUUCUAAGGAUCAAAGAUGAAUACAUACGAAGGACUAAGAACUGUGACUUUUCCACCUGAGCGUCCCCAGUUAGCCAGCAACUCUGACAGUGUGGCAUCAGUCUGCCCCAGAGGGGCAUCAUCACACUGGGGAUCACAGGACCCCAUGUUUUGUUGCUUUAAGUGGAAGAUAGACUCCUGUGGUUUAGCUUACCCAAGGACUUCAGCCAAUCAUCCAAAUAAUUGAAAAUCCAGGGGUGGUCUGGAAGUCUGGAAUACUGAGUGAUUGAUGCGUUCUCAGUGCACUUAUUUGCCAAGUUCGUAUAUAGAACACACAAUUAUACAGUAUUAGUUAUUAAAAUCCAUCCUAGAGAAAUUUGCCUAGCUCCCUGGAGAGCUGGCAUGCUGAAGACACGCAUAGGCCACCUACAACAGGUGUCACUCUAAUGUACAAGUAUGUGGUAGAGAGAUGGGAGAGACAGAGACACAGAAACCGGAGACUUGGGGGUGAUAGGGAAUAGCCUGAUGUGAGUAGCCUAUACUGCCACCUAAGGCCAUGAUGAAGGCCAGCCUGUGCUGCCUCAGAGGGUCUCACAGUGUCUAUGGCCAUGCAGCAACAGGAGUCUGUGUCAAUGUCUGUGACCCAUGUUACCACCAAAGGCCAUGUGAGAGCACUGGGCUGCCACUGGGGCCGUGUAGAUGUUCAAGGGCUGCCCAGAGCUGGCCAUGCCCCUCAUCAGCUACAGCACUCUAGAGAGAGGUCCCCCACAUGUGGAACUGGGCAGCACAAGUAGAGCUGGCCCUGGUGGCAGAUCCAGCCGCACGGCUCUGGAGCUCCGGAGAGCUGGUACCAACCUCGUCUGCUGUGAGGUGGUCUGGGUGCCGGAGAGAUGCUCUCUUCCUCUCACCCUCAUCCCUUACGGCAGCAGAAGAGCAGCCCCUGCACCUCCCCUGUGCAUCACAGUAAAGCUGACUUGGGGUAGUGAAGUUGCAGGUGAGUGGGACCCAAGGAAUGGAAUGGGAGAGAAACCAAGGACAUGUGAAUGGGGUGGAGGUGGGGGUAAGCUGGCCCCAGCUGCAGCAGGUGGGUGAACUAGCUGAGGCAGUGCUAGAGAGCUAGCACUAUUAGUGUGGGUUUGAGAGAGCUGGUGUGCUCACUAGCUCAGAUACCACCCAGGCCCAGAUCCAGGGCUUUGAGUUGGCCCACCCGUAUAUCUAGCCCAUCUAUGAACUGCUGAAGUGGGUAAAGGGGCCAGUCCUACAGAUCCAAAGCUGCUGCAGAAUCUCCAUGAAACAGGACAACAACAUAUAUCCAAGAGGAGUCAGGAGUCAUAUAUCCUGGGUGAGGAUUCAGUAUUGUUAAUGUAGCAGAAGCCAGAGGUCCCAAGCCUGACCAUGAUUCAUUACAGUGGACAUUUGUAAGUAAAGAUGUUUGAGCAAAACACUGUGACACACUGCAUCUCCAGGGCAAGAUGGAGUGUUGGUUUGUUUGCUUUUUGUUUGUUUCUGUUUUGUGGGCAGGUUGCAGAGGUAGAGGGCAAAUACAAAGAGACAGGGAGAUGAGUGGGAUUGGGGUACAUGAUGUGAAAUAAACAAAUCAAUAAAAAGUUUUAAAAAGAGAAAAGG
rnacentral:lncRNA from 1 species